rnacentral:rRNA from 1 species
ACUCCGGGAAACCGGGGCUAAUACCGGAUGGUUGUUUGAACCGCAUGGUUCAGACAUAAAAGGUGGCUUCGGCUACCACUUACAGAUGGACCCGCGGCGCAUUAGCUAGUUGGUGAGGUAACGGCUCACCAAGGCAACGAUGCGUAGCCGACCUGAGAGGGUGAUCGGCCACACUGGGACUGAGACACGGCCCAGACUCCUACGGGAGGCAGCAGUAGGGAAUCUUCCGCAAUGGACGAAAGUCUGACGGAGCAACGCCGCGUGAGUGAUGAAGGUUUUCGGAUCGUAAAGCUCUGUUGUUAGGGAAGAACAAGUGCCGUUCAAAUAGGGCGGCACCUUGACGGUACCUAACCAGAAAGCCACGGCUAACUACGUGCCAGCAGCCGCGGUAAUACGUAGGUGGCAAGCGUUGUCCGGAAUUAUUGGGCGUAAAGGGCUCGCAGGCGGUUUCUUAAGUCUGAUGUGAAAGCCCCCGGCUCAUUAGA